rnacentral:rRNA from 1 species
GAUGAACGCUGGCGGCGUGCCUAAUACAUGCAAGUCGAGCGAACAGACGAGGAGCUUGCUCCUCUGACGUUAGCGGCGGACGGGUGAGUAACACGUGGAUAACCUACCUAUAAGACUGGGAUAACUUCGGGAAACCGGAGCUAAUACCGGAUAAUAUAUUGAACCGCAUGGUUCAAUAGUGAAAGACGGUUUUGCUGUCACUUAUAGAUGGAUCCGCGCCGCAUUAGCUAGUUGGUAAGGUAACGGCUUACCAAGGCAACGAUGCGUAGCCGACCUGAGAGGGGGAUAGGCCACACUGGAACUGGGACACGGUCAAGACUCCUACGGGAGGCAGCAGUAGGAAAUCUUCCGCAAUGGGCGAAAGCCUGACGGAGCAACGCCGCGUGAGGAAUAAGGGUCUUCGGAUCGUAAGACUCUGUUAUUAGGGAAGAACAAAUGUGUAAGUAACUAUGCACGUCUUGACGGUACCUAAUCAAAAAGCCACGGCUAACUACGUG